AACGCGGACUGCUCUGCUGUUCUCACACUGGCGAGGGAGGGAGGAGAAACUGUCCACCAUGCUGCUGAAGUCCAUAGUGUCCCUGUGCGUCCUGGUUGCGGCUGCCUUGGCUGUCCCCGCCCAGGAGAAGCGUGUCCAUCACCAUGGUGAUCUGAGCGAGCGUCCCCAUGACGACGCUCACGGCUUCCAGUACGACCACGAGGCCUUCCUCGGGAAGGAGGAGGCCAAGACCUUCGACCAGCUGACCCCCGACGAGAGCAAGGACAAGCUAGCGAAGAUCGUUGAGCUCAUCGACAAGGACCGGGACGGCUACGUCAGCCACGCAGAGCUGCACUCGUGGAUCAGACACCGGCAGCGGCGGUACAUCCAGGAGAACGUGGACAAACACUGGAAGGACUACGACAAAGACCAGGACGGGAAGAUAGCCUGGGACGAGUACAAAAACACCACCUACGGCUACUAUCUGGGCGAAGAGUUCGAUGACGUCGACGACAAGGCGACCUAUAAGUCCAUGCUGACGCGGGACGAGAGACGCUUCAGGACGGCGGACCGAGACGGCGACAGGAUCGCCACGCGCGAGGAGUUCACUGCCUUCCUUCACCCGGAGGAGUAUGACUACAUGAGAGACGUGGUGGUACAGGAAACUGUGGAAGACAUCGAUAAGAACGGCGAUGGCAAGAUCAACAUAGAUGAAUACAUCGGCGACAUGUUCACCCCCGAGGAUGGAGAGAGCGAGCCUGACUGGGUCCACACAGAGAGGAAACAUUUCUCCGAGUUCAGAGAUACCAACAAGGACGGUUACCUGGAUGCAGCCGAGGUGGCCAACUGGGUUCUGCCUGGAGAGGUGGACCAUGCUGACAACGAAGCCAAACACUUGAUCCACGAGACAGACACCAACAAGCCCAGACAGAAAUCCAGCCUCGCCCCAACACUGCUUCCUACUCAUCUUCUAAAGCCGUGCCGGGCUCGGGCCAGUUUACAGACAACACAUCACCGGCCCAAACCCCAAAAUAAGAAAUGAAUGGCCGAAGGAAAAGCUGAUAAAGGCCAGCUGGACACUACCCGGUCUGGACUGAGGAAGCAGUGAAGGCAACACACUGGGCAAUAUCAAACGGACGGCCGGCUGACUCUCUCGGAGCUGCUCCACAACAUCGACUCCAUCAUGUCCAGCACCAUCACCGACUACGGUGGCAUGAGCGUCGACGAGCACGACGA